AGCGACUGUGCAGGUUACCGCGGCUGCUGGCACGGAGUUAGCCGGUGCUUCUUCUGUGAGUGAUGUCCUUCCUGCCGGCUAUUAACCCGCAGGCCUUCUUCCUCACUGAAAGUGCUUUACAACCCGAAGGCCUUCUUCACACACGCGGCAUGGCUGGAUCAGGGUUGCCCCCAUUGUCCAAUAUUCCCCACUGCUGCCUCCCGUAGGAGUCUGGGCCGUGUCUCAGUCCCAGUGUGGCUGAUCAUCCUCUCAGACCAGCUACGGAUCGUCGCCUUGGUGAGCCGUUACCUCACCAACCAGCUAAUCCGACAUAGGCUCAUCCGAUAGCGCGAGGCCCGAAGGUCCCCCGCUUUCCCCCGUAGGGCGUAUGCGGUAUUAGCCUGGGUUUCCCCAGGUUAUCCCCCACUACCGGGCAGAUUCCUAUGCAUUACUCACCCGUCCGCCGCUCGCCACCAGGGAGCAAGCUCCCCCGUGCUGCCGCUCGACUUGCAUGUGUUAGGCCUGACGCCAGCGUUCAAU
rnacentral:rRNA from 1 species